rnacentral:rRNA from 1 species
UUGGGGUCUGGUAUGACGAAACUUGGGCAGCAACUAUCUUAAUAUAUUUUUUAUAAUUUAAUAUGCAAGUGAAAAUACUUGCUUUAAUAUAAAAGACGAGAAGACCCUAGAAACUUACAUUAUUUUUGUUGGGGCGACAGGAUUACAGUUAACUAAUCUUAUAUAACAUGACGUUAUACAGUCAGAAAAAGUUACUCUAGGGAUAACAGCAA